rnacentral:rRNA from 1 species
UACAGAGGGGGCAAGCGUUAUUCGGAAUUAUUGGGCGUAAAGGGCGCGUAGGCGGCCGGACAAGUGGAAGGUGAAAUCCCCGAGCUCAACUCGGGAACUGCCCUCCAAACUGUUUGGCUUGAGUCCGGGGAGAGGUGAGUGGAAUUCCCGGUGUAGCGGUGAAAUGCGUAGAUAUUGGGAGGAACACCAGUGGCGAAGGCGGCUCACUGGACCGGAACUGACGCUGAGGCGCGAAAGCGUGGGGAGCAAACAGG